rnacentral:rRNA from 1 species
GGGUCAGUAGGUUGGUCGUGCCACCGGUACGUACUGGUCUCACUGAUUCCUCCUUCCUGAAGAACCGUAAUGCCAUUAAUUUGGUGUUGCGGGGAAACAGGACUGUUACUUUGAAAAAAUUAGAGUGUUUAAAGCAAGCUAACGCUUGAAUACAUUAGCAUGGAACAAUGAAAUAGGACGAUCGAUCCUAUUUUGUUGGUUUCUAGAAUUGACGUA